rnacentral:rRNA from 1 species
CAAUAGCGUAUAUUAAAGUUGUUGCGGUUAAAAAGCUCGUAGUUGGAUUUCUGCCGAGGACGACCAGUCCGCCCACUGGGUGAGCAUCUGGCUCAGCCUUAGCAUCUUCUUGGAGAACGUAUCUGCACUUCAUUGUGUGGUGCGGUAACCAGGACUUUUACUUUGAGGAAAUUAGAGUGUUUCAAGCAGGCGUGCGCCUUGAAUACAUUAGCAUGGAAUAAUAAGAUAGGACCUUAGUUCUAUUUUGUUGGUUUCUAGAGCUGGGGUAAAGAUUAAUAGGGAUAGUUGGGGGCAUUCGUAUUUAACCGUCAGAGGUGAAAUUCUUGGAUUUGUUAAAGACGGACUACUGCGAAAGCAUUUGCCAAGGAUGUUUUCAUUGA